rnacentral:rRNA from 1 species
AACGAACGCUGGCGGCAUGCCUAACACAUGCAAGUCGAACGAGACCUUCGGGUCUAGUGGCGCACGGGUGCGUAACGCGUGGGAACCUGCCCUUAGGUUCGGAAUAACUCCCCGAAAGGGGUGCUAAUACCGGAUAAUGUCUUCGGACCAAAGAUUUAUCGCCUUUGGAUGGGCCCGCGUUGGAUUAGCUAGUUGGUAGGGUAAAAGCCUACCACGGCGACGAUCCAUAGCUGGUCUGAGAGGAUGGUCAGCCACACUGGGACUGAGACACGGCCCAGACUCCUACGGGAGGCAGCAGUGGGGAAUAUUGGACAGUGGGCGAAAGCCUGAUCCAGCAAUGACGCGUGAGUGAUGAAGGCCUUAGGGUUGUGAAGCUCUUUUACCCGGGAUGAUAAUGACAGUACCGGGAGAAUAAGCUCCGGCUAACUCCGUG